CAGAGUUGCAAAACUCCCUAAACCAUUGUGAACCUUACCCUAAACCGUUGCUUCGGCGGCGCCCGGGUUCCCCGGGCGCCCCUGGCCCAGCGCGGCGCCCGCCGAGUCACAAACUCUUGAUAUUUAAUGGCCUCUCUGAGUCUUACUGUACUGUAAUAAGUCA
rnacentral:misc_RNA from 1 species